UUCAACUCACUUUGUUUUGAGUUGAGUUUUGGUUCACCAAUCUACUAGGCUUUGAAUUUUAUGGGUAAUGUUUUGUUUUUGAGUGCAUGCAAGCAUGAUUCCGCCUUUAAUUGUUAAUUGCAUGCUAUAUGAUGUUGCUCAAAUGAACAUGUUUUCACAAAAUCUUCCUUCACAUACAACUUAAGUCAAUGGGCUUGACGUUCGAAGCCCAUUGGGCCUUAAGGUCCAAAACUAUCCCGAGGUCUUUAACGAACUUAUUCGUUUGAUUAAUUAACAUAUUAAUUAAUCCUUGCCAUAAAUAAUUAAACCAUUUAAUUAUUCUUACUCAUCUCCAUUGUUUCUUCAAUCUCCACCUUACACGGUGUACGAUCCAUUAGGUUCCUUUUAGCGAGGCAGUGGGCGAUUAAAACCAUUUCAAAUCGAUUGUGAAUUGAAACUUACUUUCAAUUCUCCCUUUAGUGAUUAUACACGUUUAGGGCUUCCACAAACCAUGAGUGACACCUAGUAGCAUAUCAUGGUUACCCAAGCUAAUCAGAAAAGGUGGAGAACCUAUUCAGUUUAGGAUUACAAAUGCAAUACGGUCUUUCUCUAAUACAAUACUCUUGACCACAUUGUUUGGUUUGAUAGUUUAUUCAUGUCUACUAUCCAAUGUGAUUCGUGUGCUUAUAUGAUUACCUUGAAUGUGAUUUGGAACAACUUCCUAAAUCUCAUUCAUACUCUAGCCAAAGAUUCUUAAUCAUAUCAUAGAGUAUUCUCCCCCAAACGGUUUG
rnacentral:lncRNA from 1 species